CCUACGGGAGGCAGCAGUGGGGAAUUUUGGACAAUGGGCGCAAGCCUGAUCCAGCCAUGCCGCGUGCGGGAAGAAGGCCUUCGGGUUGUAAACCGCUUUUGUCAGGGAAGAAACGCUCUGGGUUAAUACCCUGGAGUAAUGACGGUACCUGAAGAAUAAGCACCGGCUAACUACGUGCCAGCAGCCGCGGUAAUACGUAGGGUGCGAGCGUUAAUCGGAAUUACUGGGCGUAAAGCGUGCGCAGGCGGUUGUGCAAGACAGAUGUGAAAUCCCCGGGCUCAACCUGGGAACUGCAUUUGUGACUGCACGGCUUGAGUGCGGCAGAGGGGGAUGGAAUUCCGCGUGUAGCAGUGAAAUGCGUAGAUAUGCGGAGGAACACCGAUGGCGAAGGCAAUCCCCUGGGCCUGCACUGACGCUCAUGCACGAAAGCGUGGGGAGCAAACAGGAUUAGAUACCCUGGUAGUCCACGCCCUAAACGAUGUCAACUGGUUGUUGGACGGCUUGCUGUUCAGUACGAGCUAACGCGUGAAGUUGACCGCCUGGGGAGUUACGGCGCGAAGGUUGAAACUUCAAGGAUUGACGGCUUGNGAGNGCGAGCGCGACGAGGAGGAGG
rnacentral:rRNA from 1 species